AAGGUACGGGAGGCAGCAGUGGGGAAUCUUCCGCAAUGGACGAAAGUCUGACGGAGCAACGCCGCGUGAGUGAUGACGGCCUUCGGGUUGUAAAGCUCUGUUAAUCGGGACGAACGUGCGAAGGGUGAAUAAUCCUUUGCAAUGACGGUACCUAUCGAGGAAGCCACGGCUAACUACGUGCCAGCAGCCGCGGUAAUCCUU
rnacentral:rRNA from 1 species